UACGAAGGGGGCUAGCGUUGCUCGGAAUCACUGGGGCGUAAAGCGCACGUAGGCGGCUUUUUAAGUCAGGGGUGAAAUCCUGGAGCUCAACUCCAGAACUGCCUUUGAUACUGGCAAUCUCGAGUCCGGGAGAGGUGAGUGGAACUGCGAGUGUAGAGGUGAAAAUUCGUAGAUAUUCGCAAGAACACCAGUGGCGAAGGCGGCUCACUGGCCCGGUACUGACGCUGAGGUGCGAAAGCGUGGGGAGCAAACAGG
rnacentral:rRNA from 1 species